rnacentral:misc_RNA from 1 species
AUCUUUUUUUAAUUUUUACAUAUAAUUAAUAUUAUUUGAAGAGUGGGUUUUAAAUAUAAACGAUCGCAAAACCUUGCGCUAACGCUCGGUUUGCUAUAUCAUUAAUGAUCCUUCCGCAGGUUCACCUACGGAAA